rnacentral:rRNA from 1 species
GAUGAACGCUGGCGGCGUGCCUAAUACAUGCAAGUCGAGCGAACGGACGAGAAGCUUGCUUCUCUGAUGUUAGCGGCGGACGGGUGAGUAACACGUGGAUAACCUACCUAUAAGACUGGGAUAACUUCGGGAAACCGGAGCUAAUACCGGAUGAUAUUUUGAACCGCAUGGUUCAAAAGUGAAAGACGGUCUUGCUGUCACUUAUAGAUGGAUCCGCGCUGCAUUAGCUAGUUGGUAAGGUAACGGCUUACCAAGGCAACGAUGCAUAGCCGACCUGAGAGGGUGAUCGGCCACACUGGAACUGAGACACGGUCCAGACUCCUACGGGAGGCAGCAGUAGGGAAUCUUCCGCAAUGGGCGAAAGCCUGACGGAGCAACGCCGCGUGAGUGAUGAAGGUCUUCGGAUCGUAAAACUCUGUUAUUAGGGAAGAACAUAUGAGUAAGUAACUGUGCACAUCUUGACGGUACCUAAUCAGAAAGCCACGGCUAACUACGUG